rnacentral:rRNA from 1 species
UGCCAGCCUCCGCGGUACUACUAAUUGUGCAAGCGUUAAUCGGAAUUACUGGGCGUAAAGCGCGCGUAGGUGGUUCAGUAAGUUAGGAGUGAAAGCCCCGGGCUUAACCUGGGAAUUGCUUCUAAAACUGCUGAGCUAGAGUACGGUAGAGGGUGGUGGAAUUUCCUGUGUAGCGGUGAAAUGCGUAGAUAUAGGAAGGAACAUCAGUGGCGAAGGCGACCACCUGGACUGAUACUGACACUGAGGUGCGAAAGCGUGGGGAGCAAACAGGAUUAGAUA